GGAAAGGGAAGGGCAACGGCUCCUCCCUUGGCGGUGGCUGCCAUCCUGGAGCUAUGGGAAGGGAGCUGUAGUCAAAGCGAAUGGGCUGAGAAGGAAGCUGAAGAGAUGGAGUGGAGGUCAGAUUUCUGAGCCUCCUGGAGGCUGCACCUUCAGAUGAUCAGAUAUGUGGCAGGAGUGGGAAAGGGACACAGAAAGAAGGGGGAUCCGUUUCUCUAAUCCUGAUGAUCUGGAGACUUUAAUAUGGGAUUUAUGAUGGCUAAAGAGCAUUACCUAACCAAGAGGAACCUUUAAUCCAGGGAGGGGAACUGACUUCUUCCUCCUCAUGGUCCACUUGAAAUUCCAGGAAAGGGAACAGAUGUGCAAGGAAUUGCAGCCUGGAGAAACAUAGUGUAUUUGGAGACUUGCAUGUAAAUGGAUA
rnacentral:lncRNA from 1 species